CAAGGUGGGAUUGACAGGUUCA
rnacentral:miRNA from 1 species